rnacentral:rRNA from 1 species
AGAAUCAACGCUGGCGGCGUGCCUCAGACAUGCAAGUCGAACGCGAAAGUCCCCUUCGGGGGGCAAGUAGAGUGGCGCACGGGUGAGUAACACGUAGGUAAUCUACCUUUGGAUGGGGAAUAACAAUCGGAAACGAUUGCUAAUACCGCAUAAUGCAGCGGCACCUAAUGGUGACAGUUGUUAAAGCGGGGGAUCGAAAGACCUCGCGUCUGAAGAGGAGCCUGCGGCGGAUUAGCUAGUUGGUAAGGUAAUGGCUUACCAAGGCUACGAUCCGUAACCGGCCUGAGACGGGCGUCGGUCACGCUGACACGUGACAUACGGGUCAGACUCCUACGGGAGCAGUCAGGUCGGAAUUUUUGGGCAAGUGGGACGAAAGCUAGACC